rnacentral:lncRNA from 1 species
CUGGAUGUAAACAUUCCUUCCUUUUAACCUCCGCAGCUGUUUAUUCUUUUCCUUGACUUUUGAAAUAAGUCUAAAGAGUAGGUGAAAUUUGGAGGAAAGAGUAUAAAUAGAAAAAAAUACUGCAAGUGUAUCAGAAAGAAAGAGUGUAAUGCAAAUGACAAAAAGAGGCUUUAGAGACAGAUCUAGAUUCAAAUUCUGGAUUUUGGUGCUAGCAGUUAACUGAUUUUACGAGUGUCAUUCACUCUCCUUCGGUUUAUUUCUCUGUAAAUGUGGAUAAGAUACCUCAUCUGAAACAUUGUGAGACUAAAAUGGGAAAUGUCCUAUAAAGUAGAAGAGAAGUGCUCAAAAAAUUGUUUUCUAUAAUAACGUAAAAAAGAAUCUUGAGUCUGUACAGGUAAUCUAAGGAGGAAGGGGUGAGUUAGCCCAAGGCUGAAAGAAGGUGGAAAUGAAAACAGGGGUAAAAGUUAGGUUUAAAGGAAGUUGGGGAUAAAAAGUGAAGGUCCCUUUUUAGCGACUGGUACAGCUGAGGAAUUUCCAUGAACAGUGAUGUCUGAUGCUCAGUUUAUGCUAUUUGCUUAACAGUGAGGAUGUAAACACUCUUUUCUAACCUUGAUCUUUAAGUAAAGUUUCUAAACCAAACUGACUCUCUUUCUCACGUGGGUGAAUGUCCAGGAAGAAUGGAGAAAACAAUCCAUACGGGAGGAGACGCCAGAAAAAUCUAAGGAAAGUAAGAAAUCAGAGUAAGAGAGAAAUUGUAAAUCCUUGAGAUAUCAUGGUAGAAUUUGAAAAUUUAUUAAGAUAUGUGCUCAUACCUGUCAGAAUAGCUAUCAUAAAAAAGAACACAAGUAACAAUCUUGGGGAGAAUGUGGAGAAAAGGGAACCCUCGUACACUGUUGGUAGGAAUGUAAAUUGGUGCAGUCACUGUGGAAAAUAGUAUUAAGGUUUCUCAAAACAGUGAAAAUAGAACUACCCUAUGACUCAGCAAUUCCCCUCUUGGGUUAAUAUCUGAAAAAAAAAAAAUUUACACAGGCCCCAGUGUUCAUGGCAGCAUGAUUUAAAUACUCAGGAUACAGAAGCAACCUAAGUGUCCAUCAACAGACGAAUGGAUAAAGCAGAUGCAGAAUACACACACACACACACACACACACACACACACAGUUAAUGUACAUAUACAAAUAAUGGAAUAUUACACAGCCACAAACAAGAACAGAAAUGCAGCAACAUGGAUGACUUGGAGAGCAUUAUGUUAAAUGAAACAAAUCAGACAAAGACAAAUACUGUAUGAUAUCACUUAAAGUGGAACCUAAAAAAUACAACAAACUAGUGAAUUUAACAAAAAAGAAGCAGACUCAUAGAUAUGGAGAACAAAUUAGUGGUUACCUUUGGGGAGAGGGAAGGGGGUAGAGGCAGUAAAGAAGCACAAAUUAUUAGGUAUAAAGAAAAAGCUACAAGAAUAGGUUGUAUAACAUAGGGAAUAUAGCCAAUAUUUUAUAAUAACUGUAAAUGGAAUAUAACCUUUAAAAAUUGUGAAUCACUAUACUGUACACCUAGGACUUCUGUAAUAUUUACAUCAAUUAUAUUUCAAUAAAAAAAGAACAGUGAGAUUAAGCAGUCUGAAAAAGGUGGGACAUCCAAUAAUGAGACAUAGCACAUGUAGAUGGAGUUAGGAUAGAAAACGGGGUGACAAUGCCUGGGGACGAUUGUAAGACAGAAGAAGGAACUAAGGUUUUUCUUUAAUCAGGAUGGUGAAUGUGUUGGGUGGAUGUAAUGGAGAGCUACAGGAAGAGAGACCAAUUUGGAAUUAUUACAGAGUUGACAGAAAACAAGGGUCAAAGCAUGGGGAUGCACGUAGGGGAUCCAUCGAAAUCUCCAGUUUCUAGCCAAGUACAGAAUGUGCGACAGCGAGGCGCACCGCUAGAAAUUACACCAGGAAUUCAAGGAUAGAUGCUCAGAAUGACGACACAUGCACACUCAUCAAAAACAAGGCCAGGAGAAGGGCGUCCUGCAUUGGAGACACAUUUCCAACCUUCUCCUAUGUGGGUUUGCUCUCUCUAACCAGAUCGUGAGGCUGUUUGGUGCAAGGACUAGCAGAAUACUCCACAUAAACGCUUCUUAAUGACAGUCGUCUAUUGUGGCUACUAUUCAUGGAGGCUUUUGCUUAGAAAUAGAACCCAUAAUUUUCAGUUUGGGCACAUGGUUGCCUAGAAUAAACUCUACAUGUUCCAGUCUCCACUGCAACUACAUAAGGCCUUGGAAUUACAAAAUAAAUGGGCCAAACGGACGGAAGAACCCUUCACAAAAUAGGAUGUGUCCUUUUAAUUGACUGGAACUCAAUUAUCUACUCAAGAGUGAGAGACAGAUGCCAAAACGAUGAUGCUGGACAAAGAAGAGCGAGCCUGGUUCCCUGACAACUUCAUGAAGUCACCCUACUUUUAUGCUGAUGUUUUACUAUUUGCAGCCAAAUAUAAUUAUCUCUAACACAACUCCCUUGAUCUUUUUUGCUACUGAUUUCAGUUCUGUUUUUUCAAAGGUUUAUACAAUCUUUAAAUAUUCUUUUUGACAUUUAGAGAUACUCUGAAAUGCUGACCAGGCAUUCUUUAUACAUUUGUUUGAAAAAGUUUUUAAUCUGAUAAGUGGCAUGGUAAAAACAUCCCUAUAAAUACAGCAUGGCUUACCACAGAGUCUUGUUGGCAUAUCAAAUGCAUGAGUGAUAGGUUCUCUAACCAAAGAGAUCAACCAAAACUCUAUUACAAACAGUACUUACAGUGGUCAAGUCUUAGGCCAAGGCCAUUUAUCAAAGCGGAAGUUUGACUAAACCUGCAGAGAUGAUAGCCAUGGUCAAGAGGGAAAAACGGUUUCUCUUACAUCUAAUCUGUGGGUAUACAGAGUAUUAGAAUGGCAAGGCAUUUGCUUUUAAUUAUUUGCAAAAUGUUAAAGUUUUAGUGUUUUGUUGAUAAUUUACACUUUCCUACUUUUUCAUUGAAUUGCUUAUGUUGGACUGAGCACUCUAAGCCUAAAAUUAAUUAUUUUUAACUGCUUUUCCUUGGGUAGAUAAUGCUUUCUUAAAACACCAAAGGAGUAAUUUUACCCCUAGAAGCACUUUAAAAAUCAUUCCUUUCAAACCUUAUGUUUUAUAGAUUGAAUGACCCAAAGAAACUAAUGAACUUAACUAAAUCUUUCUCAGUAUAAUUGUCUGCUCAUUCAUUCAUGUAUUAAUCCAUUCAAUUACUAUUAACUAUUAUGCAUAAAGCAUUGAGGAGAGGGAGCUGGAGCACAGAGAAAGGCCCUGGGUUCUACAUCGUUUCAAUUUAGUGUGCAUAGAAAUAAAUUGUCCAGAUAAGGAAAAUACAAUAUAGAUUAAGGUUUCGCAAGCAUUACUACAGAUGAAGAAUCCCAGGAGAGGGACGAGGGGAAAAGGGUAACUGGCCAAGACUUUAAAGCUGCAUAUGGGUUGCCCCUAAGAGGAAACGAAAAGGUGGAGACCAGAUGGAACGGACAUUUCAGACAAAAAGGGUGACUUUCUUUUUAACUCAUUGAUUUCUAGAGGAAGGCUUUUUCUUAAAUUAAAAUUUAAAUUACACUUGGGUAGUAGAGUAAAAGAAAACCAUUCCCUAAGAAGCCAGAGGUGAGAAGGGGGACUUGUAAAGCUUGACAUCAUAAUUAAGGCUGCAUUAAAAAGCGAAGUUUCUCCAGGUACGAAUGGUCCUCUGAAGUUCACCAACCGGAGACCCCUCCUCCCCCAGCACCUGGAGAAAACUCGAGUGGAGCACAACUUACACCCGAGAGCUGUGAGCUACUGCUCACAAAUGCCCUCAGCUAAGUGACUGAAAACCAGGCCAGUAGUAAGUGAAACAGCAGGGUUUCAGUGUACGAGUGAGAACACAGACAAAUGGGCAGUAUCAGGGAAAAUCAUAUUUCAUUUUCCUUCAUGGUGCGAAGAGUUAAGCAGUCCAGGAUUCACACAGUCGACAAGAAAGUGUUUAGAUGCAAAGGACAUUUAGAGUAAAGUGACGGCAUCUCUAUGAGUUUUUACAAACAAAUCUUCUUUCACAUUAUAACAUAUUGAAAAAUAGUUCCCCCUUUCCUCCUAAUUGUGAUUGCUUGUGGUUAUCAGGAAGAGAGAUACCCGGGAUUUCACCAGGCCCUUCACCCACGAGCAGUAACGAACAUGUAUGCAUAUUCAGAGAACUUUGUGCACAACGUGUGCAACAAGCGUAAUUAUAAAUACAGCUCAAGACAGGCCAAAUAUUUAGCUUUCCAGCUCUGCAAACUACUUACUUUCUUAUACGGGCACUCCUCUACUGCUUUCCAUUACACAACACACUUUAGAGUCCACCAAAAAGGAAAUUUGCAUUCUCGCUUCAUAGGUCUGUAGAUAACCUUCAGACACUAACCUUGCUGUCUUCUGUCUCCUCAGCUUUUCCUUGGACGGGUUUCGUCUCUUCACAUUCGCAGGUUGAAUGUAAUGUGAGCUUGCAAGAAAGCACUGAGCUCUCAGAUUCAGUCAGUUCCAAAGGGCUUGAAGAAUAGUGCUGUGACCCAGGAGUGCCAAGACUGGGUAUCGGAAGAGCAGUAUGAACAGGCUUUGACCCAACAGCUGGCUGCCUCAGUUUUGAGGCAACCCCAAGUACAGGCAUGGCUUCUAUAAAGUAUCUUCUUGCUGCCAAAGAAAAUGCUUCUAACCUCAGUCUGGUAGACUCCAACUUCAGUAUUUCCAGAACAAAUACUUUACACAGAACUAGCAGUCAUCAUGAUUUAAAAACCAAAACAAAAAAAACUAAUAACAUUACUUUCAGGAAGAGGCAAAACUCCCCUUCAUCUUUAGUUAAGGGUCUUUCUCUCCUGCGAACAUGAACUCUCCUAUUCUCAUUCUCUCAUAUAUUCAUUCUCUCUCUCUGUUCAGAGAGUCAGCGCCCAUGUAAUCUUAAAUACUCCUUUGGGGAGAAAACUUUUCUUAAGGGUAACUGCUACAAAGCUCCUUCUCUAGCAUUAAAGAGCUGCUAGUUUUACUUCUUCUCACUACAGCAGUCUGAGUCUGAGCACUGAGAAUGAAAAAGAACAAAAGGAAAGCCCUUCAGUUCAACUGUCAAAGCAGCUAAAAGACCACAAGAGUGGAAGGGGAAGGACAGGCGUUCUUCCUGACUUCAGAAAUAACCGGCUUACACUCUCUUUUUAAAGAAAAUUGUAUUUCCCUCAGCUUUG